GAGUGGAAAGUACUCGUAUGUUCACGGUGUUAAUUAGCACAAAUGAUCUUGAAUGCUAUUCACAGCAUUCAAGUCAAAUUUGAUUAUUGCAAUGAAAACAAUCCUUGAGUUAUCAUUUGUCAUUAUGUUCAUGUAUCCUACCCAGAUGACCCCAAAGUCAAGCAAAACACACAGGUCGAUGUCGAACCCCAGCCAGUGGACACUGAGAAUGAUGUUCCUGAUAUGCAACUAGACCUACAGAUUCCUGCUCCAUUCCAGCCAGAAAGUACACAGGCUGGCCACUUGAUACAAGCAGCUGUACAGAAGAGGGUGGCCCAGCUUGAAAUUGAACUUCAGGCGACGCGACGGAAGCUUCAACUUGCUCAGAGGCAGCAAUUCCAACCACUAACUGCAAAUAAGCGCCUUG